rnacentral:rRNA from 1 species
GUCCGCGGCCAUGACACCCUGAACGCGCCUUCUGGUCUAAUCAGAUCUGGUCUGAUCUCAGAAGCUAAGUAGGGACGGGCCUGGUUCAUUCUCGGAUGGAAAUAAACAGUGGCCUUGCAGGGCGGAGC